GAAAAUGAAAUAGUCUAUUUCUCCCCCAAAGGUUCUUCUCCAAACCCUUCUUCUUCUCUAUCCCUUAUCUCUAUCCCAACUCUUUUCCCUAACCCUCACCUCUCAAUCCUCAUCUGUCUAUCUCUCUACCUCUAUUUCUCUUCUCUCUAUCUCAAUCCCAAUUUCUAUCUCUAUUUUCUUACCUCUCUAGCCUCGGUUACCGACUACGUUACCUCCGAUACGCGACCGGAAGGACCAAGAACCUGAUCCGAGCCAUAAGGGAUAUUACAAUUGGUAUCAGAGCGGCACUGUCCCAGGGCCGUGGGCGGCGGGAAUUCAACAGGAGCAAGAACGUUGGAGUUUCAGCAGCUGUGAGGAAUUACGUCGAACAAUGGAGGCGCAACAGGUAACAUCAUCCAAUUAGCAUAAUUAAGCAACAGAAGGCUCACACGAGGGUGUACGGAGGUAGUAGCAAGGACUAGUGCUGGUUCUAUUGCAAUUAGAACAGCACCAGGCCUCAGGCAAGCAUCUUUGGCACCUCGGCCGAAUUACUGUAGCAGGUGUUAAUUCCAGAUCAAACAAGAGUGAAGCAAUCAGUAGCGUCCAGGGGCAACAAUUGCAAAAAAGAGCGAAAACCGAUUCAAAUUCGAAACCAAGAGAAGUGAGAUCCCAGGGAUCGGUGCUGCGACAGUCGCGUGAUUCCGAUUCUUAGAAUUGUAGAGUCAAUUGCGACAUAGCUACCUGCGCUGCGAGAAUCGGCUUCGGCUGGAUCUCGACAAAAGGGGCCGCAGCGGAAUCACACUGAUUCUGAGUUUUACACAGUUCUAGCAGAGCUAAUUUCUGCUCAAUUGUGAAGCUCCCACCUGGUACCUGCGAAUAAUUCUCAAGCAGGUAGAUCCCACAUUGUAUAGCUUAGCAAAAUUGGGUCAACACGAGGCAACAGAUCUAAAUUCACUAGUAGCUUGUACAAGGCAAGAGAAGAAUUAGUUACUGUCCAGGGAUGGUAGGCAAAAUGGCUAUUGGAACAAAGUGGCAGCAACAAACUACUAGUUAUAACCAAAGCUUUGAAGGAACGUUGCAAAUUGCUAGGGAUUUCAAUCAGAAUUUAGAUAUUUUGGCGCAAAGGAUUGAAACCCUGCGGAAGGAAGAGGCAAGGAGGUACGAAAUUAUGAUGGAGGAGGAGGCCCGAAGGCAUGAACAACUCCUAGAGUUGAUUAGAAGCCGAUUUGUACAUGCUAAAGGGAAAGGGACAGUAGUGCAAGUUCCGAUAGAAAAGAAACAUCGGCAACAGUACAUGCCAUACAUGGAGAUAAGUUUCCCAGAUUUUAACGGAACAGAUCCAAAAGGAUGGUUACGAAAUUGCGAGCAGUAUUUUGACCGAUACCAAGUUCCUGAGCAACAAUGGAUAGGCAUAGCGUCCAUGCACAUAGAGGGUGAUGCACGGUUUUGGAAGCAAGCAUAUUUCUUUAACCGACCAGAGGUAAAUUGGGGCGAGUUUUCCGAUGCCAUUUGUAAAAGAUUUACAGCGACGAAAGAGAGGUACCCAACCCAAGAGUUUAGUACUUGCAAGCAAACCAAUUCUAUAGAGAGCUGCCAAAAGAAUUGUGAAGCCGCAAAGAGAUCUGAAACUAUGGUGCAGGAGGAUGAUCACAUACAUGAAGCUGGAAGUGCAGGAUCAGAGAAAGAGUGUGAUGAUUAUCUACAGUUGGAGAUCAAUAGAAAACCAGAGAUAGCAUGGAGCGAGCGUGCUAGCAAGCCAGAGGAGCUGCUGAAGCUGCUCGCAGCACAGCCACCUCUACUCAAGCCUGCUCACAAUGCCCCAAAUGCAUACACUACUUCAGCUGAAACUGAAAGUACCAUAAAAGCUGUUGCCAAUACGACUCACAAUUCCGAAGAGAGUCUUAAUCUUAAUCUUGAAGAAGGGCCUGCACCAAGUGAGCAAACAAAGAUGCAAGGGCUGUGCAAUGAAUACGGAGAGGAGUACAGCACGGGGAAGCAAUGCAAGAAUAGCUCCCUGCAUAUGUUAACGGCACAGAAAAAGGCUGAAAUGAGUGCUGGAUCCGAAGCAGCAAAAGAAGAAGGAUGGGAGCCACAACAAGUAGAAGAAGGAAAUGCUUACGACGCUGUAAGUAUCAAGGAGUCAAAUAACCAAGCCCUUCUAAGUUUGGUUGAUGAUAGAAGCAUACAUAGCCUUAUUCACUUCGGAACGGCAAAAGCUACCAAAGUGGGAUCUACUACUUUUGCACCCUUGAUAGUGAUAGCAGACCGGGAUCCCAAGAUGCUAAGCAAAGAUUCUUGUCCUCAGUUUGCAAGGAAGAAACCAGGUUACAAAUUCUUGGCUGAUUCAAGAGAAUUGAGACUCAAAAGUUCUGACAUAGCGCUUAGAAUCGAUUGGAUGAAGGAAUAUAGGCAAGUGCCUUUUGAUCCAGGACCUAACAAGGUGACAUUUCGCAGCAUUGAAGGAGAAGCCUCUCACAAAUUUAUCAUGACAAGUAAGUUACAAAAGGUAAUCCAUCAGAAAAUACGAGGUAUGCUGGGUCAAUCUGCUAUGAUUAGAAUUGGAGAAAUGGCGAAGGCGAUUACUACAGAAGGUUGCAAGAGAGUUAAUAGCAUAGGCUUAAUUGGUAUUGUUGAGGGCCUCAAUAAGCACAUCCAAAGAAGGCCAAUUGAAGCGUAUCAAGAGAGCAUUGAGAACUCAAGGAUCCAAACGCUACUUCGAAACUCUAGCCUGGAAGAAGCUUACAUUGCGUACAGCUUGGUGAAUGGGUGUAAGGAAUUAGGGUCUGUGCUUAAGAUGCCUCACCCAUGCUCGCGAUUUCUGGCCUAUGAACAAGACAAGCUGCAGGAAUCUGAUGUAAGUGAUUGCAACUUCCAUAAUGCUAACUAUGUUCAUAGUGUGAUGGUUAUAGGCAACAGCUUUCUAAGCCUGGUCGAAGGUCAAGUUCACCCUGAAAAUGGAGAAGAUCAGGAUGUAAGAGAAUUAGAAGAUGAAACUAGCUGUUCCCUCAUCAUAGCUAGGAUGGUUAUGAAGAGGUUUGCCGAUAAAAAGUGGUGUGAUGGUCUCUAUAGGCAAAAGAUUUCGAAGGAUUGUUCCGCACUUAAGAAGAAGACCAAUGGGGAGCAGAAUGAAAUCAGUCGUGAAGACCAUAUAGAGAUCAAGACUAUGGAAAAAAUCUCAGAGCUCACAUUAAGUCAGUUUGCACUUUACCACAUCUCGGAGCAGACAAGACUGGCGGCGUGCAGGUUGCGACUGCCUGAAGGUCCCGAGGGUGAGCCCUCGCCCCAACAGGUACCGCCGUCCAUGCUGCCAACCAGAGAUGAUAGGCGAGUGUGGACACGAAUUGGAAACACCUCACACCAGCACAAGGUGACGCAAGAAAACAGAACAGAGGUUUCAAUAUGGCUUAAAGGAAACAAUUCUGAAGAAGAAGAAUGUGCCGCGAGUGAAGCAAAUGAGAGCCCCAAACCAGUUCAACAAGUUCCAUCCUUGAGGACAAGGAUGAUUUUAAGGGGAGGGGAUUGUAACGACCCUGGAGAAUAAAUGGUAGAGGUAGCAGUAGCAGUAGUAAUAGUUAGCAUGGGAGAAUAGUAAAAAUAGCAACUUUACUAGUUAAAAUGGAGAAUAAAAGUGGCAGCAGCAGAAUGGUGAAGGAGCGAGCUCAGUGGGGUGAACCGGCGGCAAGGGCGUUCAGGCGGAACUCAGGCGGGCGACGAGGAAGGGUGGCGCUGCGGCCGCGGCAGCCUUCCCAGCGACUGUCUCCCUCAAGAAAGCGAAGGCGCCGGCCGCGCUCUGGAACCCGCCGCAGGCCUGCUUGAGCCUUGCGGCGAUGGUGCGAUCGGCGGCGUGGGCGAUCUGCGAGUAGACGGCGGCAGUGGGGGAAAUGGGAGGAACGCGAAGGGAGAAGGAGGUCCGACAGCAUCUACGGUUGGGGAAGAUGGAAGCCUUGCGGGUCGGAUGGGCAGAUUUCCGGAUCGGAGGCAAAACGCGAACCCAAGACCCGCCGGCAAUGGAUAGUGCGGAGAAGGCGAACCCGCAACCCGCUUGCCCGUUUACCAGACAACUUCGGACCGAACAAGCCCAGCGGAGGCCCAGCCUGCGAGUGAAUCGCGGCCCAGCCUGCUCUCACCCAGUUUACAUAUUGCUGUUUAGCCCUUAUAGGAUAGUUUACUUUAAUUUCAAUACCAGUUGUAGAGGAAUAUAUCUAACAGAAUGUCAUGAGAAGAUCAUAAAUGAAAAUGAAAUAGUCUAUUUCUCCCCCAAAGGUUCUUCUCCAAACCCUUCUUCUUCUCUAUCCCUUAUCUCUAUCCCAACUCUUUUCCCUAACCCUCACCUCUCAAUCCUCAUCUGUCUAUCUCUCUACCUCUAUUUCUCUUCUCUCUAUCUCAAUCCCAAUUUCUAUCUCUAUUUUCUUACCUCUCUAGCCUCGGUUACCGACUACGUUACCUCCGAUACGCGACCGGAAGGACCAAGAACCUGAUCCGAGCCAUAAGGGAUAUUACAAUUGGUAUCAGAGCGGCACUGUCCCAG
rnacentral:lncRNA from 1 species